GGGCCCGAAGUUUAACUGGCUGAACGCGUCAUUUGCAAUGACGAGGCAGGCGGUUCGACCCCGCCCGGGUCCACAA
rnacentral:tRNA from 5 species